GACGAACGCUGGCGGCGUGCUUAACACAUGCAAGUCGAACGGAAAGGCCCUGCUUUUGUGGGGUGCUCGAGUGGCGAACGGGUGAGUAACACGUGAGUAACCUGCCCUUGACUUUGGGAUAACUUCAGGAAACUGGGGCUAAUACCGGAUAGGAGCUCCUGCUGCAUGGUGGGGGUUGGAAAGUUUCGGCGGUUGGGGAUGGACUCGCGGCUUAUCAGCUUGUUUGUGGGGUAGUGGCUUACCAAGGCUUUGACGGGUAGCCGGCCUGAGAGGGUGACCGGCCAAAUUGGGACUGAGAUACGGACCAGACUCCUACGGGAGGCAGCAGUGGGGAAUAUUGCACAAUGGGCGGAAGCAUGAUGCAGAAACGCCGCGUGCGGGAUGACGGCCUUCGGGUUGUAAACCGCUUUCGACUGUGACGAAGCGUGAGUGACGGUAAUGGGUAAAGAAGCACCGGCUAACUACGUG
rnacentral:rRNA from 1 species